CACCAAGGAUAAUAGCCAGAUUUUUAGGUCAACUGAUUUGGGAUCUUAAUUGCAUUUGCCAAACCUCUUACAGCUGGACCUAAAUUAGCAUUUGAUUGAAAACUGAGAGCAGCUGAGCUGUGAGUCUCUUGAGGGCGGGAACCAAGGCUUGGCCGUCUUUGUAGCUGCAGCCCCUGGAACAGUAGCCAGCUCAAGACAUAUUUGCUGCCUGAGAGUGAGCGAUGCGCCCGAGCCAGCUGUGCCGAGAAGAGCAUUUUAACUACAGCGGCCUACACUGCAUGAAAAGGGCGGCUGACGGGGAGACAGCGGCGCCCGCGCUUCCGAGACGAGGGCAGGCAAGUCCGGCGUCCGACGCCCCAGAGAGAACCAGCCCCGCCGCGACGCUGAGGCGGACGUGCCGCUAGGUGUCACUCCCGAUUCAAUAAAGAGAGACGCGGGUCCUUAGAAAGCUGGUUACACCUUUCUUGUGAAGGGAGCUGCUUAGACGGCUCCCAACCAUCCUUUCCGUCUGGUUCCACCCUCCUGUUCUUCAGUUCCCUCCACUGACACAGUCUGGGUCUAUAAAAGGACAACAGAAACAGGAGCUACGAGAGUUGGGGGCCACCUGGCCAACUAAUUCAGCCUCCCGAUUUUGUAGACGCGCAACCGAGGUUGGGGAGGGGGGUCGGGAGGUGGGGACAGAGCCCGGCUUCGGCCCCCGCGUGGGUCCGCGCGCCCCUGCCACCUUCGGGGUCCCGACUCUCGGCCUAAAGGUGUCGGGACGGUCCCGGAGGUCUACACCGCGGUCAGCCCCCCAGGGCCAGUUCCAGGCGCUCAGGCCGCGCGCAGCGUCUCUUCCUGCGCGGAGAUCCAACCCAAGGGCAUCCUCGCCCUGCGCUCCAAAACCCGGGAAGGUACCAGAAGGAAGAAGGCGAACUCGGUUCCUGAUUUUCGUGGAGCUAAUGCUCUGGUAGGGAGCACACAUUGAAUAAAUAAUUGCGGGAAACAUUAAUUUGUUCUAAAUGAGAUAUAUGCUGCAAAGGACAACAGAGGCUGCUGGGAGAGGGUGUCAGCAGGGAACCAGCUGAAGUCGUCAACUGAAUCUUCGCCACAACUUUGCUGCAUGUCCACCCUGAUGCUAUCUUCUCUCCUCUUGCUGCUGCAAACCGAUACAAGUCAUAGCCCCAAGGAACAGAUGAGUCAGUGCUUGCAAGGCUGCACGUCCCCAGGUGAGUCGCUGGAAGGAUGCCCGGCACGCGUAUAGUGGGUGCUCUCCAAAUAUGUGACGAAUAUGAACAGAACAGGAAGGAAGGAGAACUGUCACCUGGACUCCAUCUGUUGGAGUUGAAGACACUGUUCGCUGUGCUGACUGCUGUCUGUUGAGGCCCUUCAGUGACUUGGGUAGAUCGAGUGUGGUGAUAAGAUCUCCAGCUCUACCCCCACCCCUCCGCCAACAGGCAGUAGCAUGCUGGAUAAAUAGCAGCUCACCUCUGACCACCCAGCUCGAGACAACAGACUGCCACCCUGCUGCGUUCACUGAGAAAGAAGCCCUACCUGCUGUUUCCAUCAAUCGCUGUGCUGACAGAGCAGUCUCGCGACUAUUGUGAAAGGGACAUUUCAAUCCUAUGUGAAACAUCCUCUCUGGGGGUAUAUAACCACUCUGUGCACCCCACUUCUUUGGUGCCCUUUCUUCCUUUGGGAAGAAGGGCCCCGGGCCAUGGUCCUCAGAUUUCAGCUCAGAAUAAACUCUCCCAAAUUUU
ensembl:lncRNA